CGACGCCGAAACCAUACCUUCCUCUCACUGUUUCAUCCUAUAUCAUACAUUGAAAAGAAGGUUAUUCCCAUAGUGAAUUUUUUACGUGUCAUCUUCCAGGUUCAUUCUCAAUUUCUGUUUACGUUUGGAGGUGGAGAUUAUAGAGUUCAUGUACGCACCAAGGCAAAGUUAAGGCGGUGGAUGAAGUUGUGACAGCUAUGGUGGUGGAUCAUAAUAUGGCGUGGUGUUGCAGUGGGUGCGGUAGAGUUUGUGGUGGUCAUCGAUGAUGUGGUGAUGGAUACAGAGGAGGCAGUGGCGGAAGAGAGCAAAUCGAUGAAAAGUACCGAGUCGCGCAGCCACAGAGAGCACACGCAGUGACACUAUGAAAGAGAGCACAACAACGAUAUGAUAUUUUUAUAUUUUUCUUUAUCUUUCUAUCCAGGGAAGUAGAAGAAAAAAAUAGAGACACGACAGGGAGGAGCGAGAGAUGCAUACUGGCAUCGACAACAAUGGGAUGAUUCCGAUGGCGAUAGGCACGGAAGUGAAGUUACAGUUGCAGCGCCGGAAGCGGCCAGCAACGGUCUUGGUGCAUGAUUCUGUAUGCUCUGCUUAUAGUCUUCUUUGCCUGGUGUGGAGUUGUUGAUGCAGAAAAUCCAAAACCUCAUUGUUGUUGGCGGGAUUCUAUUUGCAUUUCGCUAAAAAAAUAAUUUAGGAACUAAGGUAAAAGAAGUUCUUGCUGUGUAGCUACUGUGGAAGGUUUCUAUAAUAUCUUUAACGGACUAAUUUGGGUAUUCCUUCUUACAAUAUCAACGCAAUAUUUGGGAAAGGAGAUCCUCUCAACAACUUUUUCUUUUUUGAUGCCUUUGAUGGGAAGGGAAUUAUAGAGAACAUUCCCAACUUAAAUGCUCUGGUAAUUUAUCACUGAAGCACCACAAACCCUAAGAGUGGAAGGUUAACAUUGUCUAGAAAAAAUAGACCUUUUUAAGUGUACAAUGUUCUGGUUAUUGUUAGCUAUUAAUUUAUAUUUUUAGUUGCUAAUUUAUUUAGGCUAAUUUCAAUUUACUGUUAAGUGUUUUUUUGCUGUAGUAGACACCAAUGAAAUGAUUAUUUGUUGUGGAC